GUACUUGCUUCAGCAGCACAUAUACUAAAAUUGGAACGAUACGGAGAAGAUUAUCAUAGCCCCUGCACAAGGAUGACAUGAAAAUUUGUGAAGCUUUCCAUAAUUUU